UUUAACACAAAGCUCUCAAAAUGUUGUCGGUAAUCUCCGUGUACAGAUUACAAAUAAAGAGACUCACGCUGGGUACAUAUGAUACAGAGUGGUGGUAGAUCAGCGGCGAUUAAAACUAGUGACUGAGACAGCCAUAAUAUUAUAGAUCCUAUUCAAGACAUGCAGACAAUAGGACGCACUGCCUAGAGAAGUUUGAAAUGAACUCCAGCCAUUUAACGCUUUGAAAUUGUCUACACGCAAAUCCGCAGCAAAUUCUAAUGCCUUCUCC
rnacentral:lncRNA from 1 species